CUGAGAGCUCCCAGAGGAGGAGAGGGCUGGCCCCGUGCGAGAGGGCACACCCACCCCAGGAGACUGACAGCGUGCAACACCAGCCGCCCAGCCUUUCGGGUCAGGAGGAGCAGCCCAGCACCUGGCCCCACGUCUGGCCCCACAUCCAGCGUUGCGGCCCCUCUGAGGAGUCCGAUGGGGCCCAUCAGGGGGUUCUGGUGAGGAGCGUUGGCGCCACACACCACGAAGGUGGGGGAGGGACCUAGGAUGAGGCAUCCGGGGAGCAGGCCGGGCCUCCAUGGCCAAGGAAGCGGCCUGAGGGGUCCAGGACAGGAGAGCGGCGUGGGCCUCCCUGUGGCAGGGGUGCAGGGCGGCAUGGGAAGGAGGGGGUGUGGGAAGGAGUCGGGGCUUCGGGCCUCCUGCAGCACCCAGGGAGGGUUCCAGCCUCGGGGGCAGCUGGUCCUGCAGCAGAGGGAGGCCGAGGCCGGGAGCUGCCGCCACCCCACCCCAGGAGCGCACAGUCAGGCUCUUUGGCACAUCUGCAAGCCCUGGUCCCUGUUCCAGGUCAGUGCUGGACCUUGAGCGUGUGACAUGAGGCUCAGAGGCACCCGUGACAGCAGCACAUCCCAGGUGUGCACCUGCCACCCAGGGAGCGUGCCAGCCUGCGGGCGGCUCAGCCAGGCCCCAGAGCGUCCUCCUGUCCCCCGUCAGAGCACACUGGAGAGGUCACAUUGUGAGCAGUUGGGCACGUACCAGACUGCACGUACCACCCGAUUAACAGAUGCUCCUCUCUCCUGGGUUUGCUCAGAGUGUUUUUGAAGAUCAAAGUUGGAGAGAACUGAUAUCUCCCCAAAUCCUUCCCUCCCCGCUCCCCAAGGAGACUUGUGCUCCACGUCACUGCACGCCGCCGUUCCUGGACCCCUGUCCACCCCGUUCUGUGCACCGACCCCGAAGCUCCGUCCUGGGGGCUCCGGGAGCCAGUGGAGGCCCAGGUGUGCAAGCAGCUCACUGGUUCCACUCAGGGGAGACUCGCGUGGCCACCGUGCUCCCUGGGCUCCCAGGCUUCCCCUGCCCUCUCUCCAUGGAAACGCCUCAGGUGGUGGACCACACUGUCCCCACCAGCCUGCGAGGCCUGGCAGUGGCAGGACCUGGGGCUGGACAGGCCUCAGACUCUAGACCCACUGACCAAGGGCAGAGGCAGCGUGGCACCUGUGCCCACCAGGGCCCACUGAGGUGCAUGCCUGGCUGGGGCCCCUGUUCUGGCCUCUCCCUCCUCCCUGCUCCCUGCUCCCUGCUCUGGGAUCGCCCACUGUGGGAAGCCAGCUGCCUGCUGCAGUUCCCAUGGACUCCCACAGAGAGCCGGUGAGGAGCCAGGCCCGCCAGCAGCCCGGAGGGUGUGGGGGUGCAGCCUCCGCUGGGGGCGCCGCCCCCCACCUGCCCGGGGACCCCAGCCAGGCAGCUCAGGAAGGAGCUUGGAUCCUAACCCACAAAAACCGUGAGGUGCUCAUCGAUUGCUGUGCUGAAAUUCCCUUAGUGUGAAAUUGACCAUCUUCACCACUUGAAAGUGACAUUCACUACAGUCAGCGUUGUCGACCACCUCCCAGGAAACCCGUCCCGUGAGAAGCCACUGCCACCCCACCUCUGCCCCCACCCCCAGGAAGACGCAGGUCAGGAGGCAGCGAGCAGACAGAUCUGGCUCCCUCCCUGGUCCCGCCACAGCAGGAGAGGAGCAGAGGAGCGGCUCCGUCGUGGUCCUCAGAGCUGAAACGGGGCAGCUAAAAUGACUCUUGCAACAGCUGCCCUCGCAGCAGGAGUCCAGGCUGGAGGUGGACGGGAAUGUUCUACGGCUGAACCCGCUGCUGGUCACACGGGGUCUUCAGGUGUGCCUCAGUGGUGAGCCCUGGGCUCCAUCCCCAGCGCAGCAGAAACAAACAAGACCCCCUCUCUGAGCUGCACGUGUGGGUGUUCAGCAGCACCAACCUUCACCCGCCACCCCUCCCCACCCUGCUCCCAAGCCAUGGCCCUCACCGACAUCUGGGGGUUCCUUACUGAUAUCUCCAAUUUCCCAGGAGAUAGUAAGUCCUGAAGCUGGAUGUGGGGGCCCCACCCUGCACCCUCCUACCAAGCAGCCCCCUCCCAAGUCGUUGAAGCUCAGGUCUCAACUUAGUCUUUAGCUUGUUUUUCCAAUUGGUUUAAUGCAAACACCUUCCCAAACCAAGAAAUAACAGUUGUGCCUAAAUAUAACCCAAAUAUAGGGGAUGCCCAGAAGAAUCCUCCCAAGGACUUCUGUGCAUCGUGACUGUAUAAAGCAGAUGUCAGUGGACAAAGGUGCAGGAUGCUUAUGAAAUCUGGGACAUUACGUUAGAAAUGCAACUCCCAGGGCCAUCUGCGUUUUGUUUUAUUUCCUGUAUGUUUACGGUGCUGAUUCAGUAGAGACGCAUUAUUGAAGUGGUGGGAUAACAGGAGAACUUGUGGUAGACACCGAUCAAGCCGUCUCCUUCUACUCCUGGGAAUACAGGGGACGCCAUUUCCCAGCCCCCCUUGCAGUUGAGACUGUCAUGUGACAGUCUGUUCAGUGGGAUCCGGGCUGUGACAGUGGACACCCUCCCCGCCUGGCCUGAGAAACUCCCAGCCAUCCCUACCUACCCGGACGCCAGGACUCACCCCAGACACUGAGGCCCGGGGGACGGUGGACCCCCACCACUGAAGGGGCCUGGGCCACCGCCAGCUGCCAAUUGAGAUUCGUGGAGAAAGAAAGCCUGGUGCAUGGCUUCAGGCCAGGGCGGUGGCGCAGGCGACCUCCUGGUCCACACCUCAGGCACGGAAGGUGCUUCCCGCUUCUCUCGAGUCCCACCACCUCUGUGUCCCCCACGUCAGGCACGGUCCCAACUCAGUUUCCUACGUUACCUCCUCUUCCUGGGCUUCUGAGCUUGAGAGCAUCCGACCCGCUCAGGACACCCAGGAUGGACGGCUGCUUUCCUCCUGUCAGACGUUCACAUCGCGAGCUGAUCCCAGGCGGUCUCACACCGCGGGCAGCAGACACUUCUGGACGUCUGAUUUCUGCUGUCGACUGAGCAACCUGGACGCCUGCCUUCCAGGGGGUCCUUGUGGGAGACGUGGCUCCGCAGGUGAACCGAAAGUCUUCAGGGCUCAGGAGGAAGAGGCUCCGAGCAGUCCCCUUCCUCACUGUGUCCUGUGGCGGCUCAGGGACCGGCCAGCUUUGUUCAUGUUUGAACUGUGCAGCCUCCGUCAAGACUGCGGGAUCUGCCAGGCACGGUGGCCCACGCCUGUCAUCCCAGCGGCUCGGGAGGCUGAGACAGGAGGAUGGCGAGGGCAAAGCCAGCCUCAGCAACAGCGAGGCGCUAAGCAACUCAGAGAGACCCUGUCUAAAUAAAAUUCAGAUGGGGCUGGGGUGUGGCUCAGUGGUCGAGGGCCCCUGGGUUCAGUCCCCAGGGCCAAAAAAUAAAAAAAGACUGUGGGCUCUGCAGCAGCCGUGUGGACACGUGAAAGGACAGGCUCUGCUCCAAGAGACGGCCCGUACUCAGCUGCGGGCAGCUGGAUUCCACCCCCAGGCCGAGGUCUGCGGCCAGGCUCACCUAACCUCUGAGAGCCUGGGGCUGGACAGGGGAGGGCUUGAGUGUUCAGCGCUGCUGGGUCCAGUCCCACCUGGAGGCCGACCUGCGAUGGCUCUGGGCGAGGGUUGCUAGCUUCUCCUUGGUGAAGAGGAGACUACAGGAGUCCCUGCCCUCCCCGAGUGCUGGGGAUGGCCAAGCUGGCCAGGACAGGCUGCCCAGUGGCUGCAUGCUAGUAGACGAGGGCUCUUGUCCCUCCGGAAGGGACGGGGACCUGCUCCUUCCAGCUGGGGAGGCAGGAGCCGGCCCUGGAGAGAAGCAGAGGUAAUUACCGAGGCAGAUCCCCUGGGGCAGGAGGGAAGGGACUGAGAGCCAGCAGAGGAAGCCAGGCAGGGAGGGUGGCCGGGGCCUCUGCAGCAGGAGGGACACGCAGACCAGUGGAGCAGGCUGUGUCCCUGGGCUCUGCCGUCCAGGCAGCAGGGAGCAGGUGGCUGUUAGCACUGUGUCCCCGUCCUUCACACCGCCGGGCGCACAGUAGGUGCUCCACAGUCACUGGAUGGACAGAUGGGAAGGAAGAAGGGACGGUUGCUGUCGCCCCCGACACUGAGCAGUCAAAGGGGCCGAGCCUGUUGUACAGGCGCAGAGGGCAGAGCGGGGCCACUCGGCCCAUCACAGCGGUGCCUGCAGCCAGCCGGCCACCUCCCCUGGCCUGCGGGAACUCACCUGGGCUGAGGUUCCUCAAUCCACAGGGAGCUGGGAGUGACCUCACCUCCCUGAAGCUUCCCCUGGGGGAAGCCCGGGCCCAGGUGGGGAGGACGGGUGCUCUGGGGCGCCCAGACGGGGACAUCGGUGUGGACGACAGGAAAUGCCCAGGCCAGGCCAGCACCUGCCCACCUGAGCUCAGGAUGUUUCCCCACUUUACAGCCGAGGAAGCCGAGGCUCGGGGAGGCCGAGCCAGCCCUGGCUCUAAGUGGCAUUCGAGACUGCCAGGGCCUGGUGGCAAAGCUGAAGGGGCCCAGGAGUGAGAAGCCAAGCUGCAGCCCAGAGGCCCAUGUCCGAGGACCGGCUCUGCACGACUCCCCGACUCCGGGAGGUGGGGGGGUGAGGGAGGCCAGGAGGAGCUGGCGGCCACCUGGAGGCCACCGCCAUGCUGAUCGGAACCGGAGGCAUACCCUGCGGGGCCAGGCAUGUCUGGUGGUGGCGAGCAGUGGGCAGGUGGCCCAGCAGUGGGCAGGUGGCCGAGCUGGCCCUGGACGAGCCUCGUCUCCCUCCUGCAGGGGACCAAUAGGAGGCCAGGGCUGAGGCCACUGCGAGAGGCAGGCGUGGGGAGGUGCUGGCCUUGGCCUGCGGGGGCACUCUCAUGUCCACCCCGAUUCAUGCUAACGAAGACUCAGUCCGACCAGAACUGGGUUCCGCCUGGCCCAGGACUGUUCAUGUAGUCACCCAACAGCUAUUUACUGGGCACCGUGAGGCUCAAUUCCACGUCAGCUCAGCUGGGUCACGGUGUCCAUGCACGGGGUCAUCACUCUCUGGGUACUCCGUGAGGGGUUUGGGAUGAGGUUGGAAUCCAAGUCUGCACACUUUGAGGACAGCCCACUGUCCUGUAAUGCGGGUGGCCUCCUCCAACCAGUGGAAGGCCUGAUCCAGGAAGGAGCUGCUCCAGCAGAGCCUUCAGACUGCAGCUGAGCACCGCUCUCCUGCUUCUAGCCCUCAGCCCACCCUGCCUCUCAGUCUCUGUCACCACCUGAGACCCUCAGUCUCUGUCACCA